UGGUGGUAUUUUUAGAUUUUUUUGUUUAGUGUUGUGUUAGAUGGUUGGGUAUUUGUUUAUUUAUUUCAAGCAAGGUAUAAGGAAGUUAUACUCCAGUCUAGUAGGUGGCGGUAAUGCAACAUAUUGGAUGCCAACUGCCUUUAAAACUCAGCGAAGAGGAAAAAUACUAUGACGGAAGCAAAUGGACUCGUGAAACAACCAGCAAACCAAGCUGUCUUGUGAAACAUUGGAUGUAAAGAAUCUAUCUAGCUAGCUAAAGCAUUUACUGCAAAUUGAUUGUACAAUUUUGUAAGCUUGCCUUGCUGAUAUUUGCCAUGUAAUCCAUCUGAAGUAACAUAGCAAGCUAACUAUUUUGUUGCUUAUUGUGCAGUGGAGGAUUAAAAUACCUGUAUGCCUAUGGAUGUGUAGCUAGCUAUGUAGGCGAUCUGUGUAUUGACCCUAAAACGUUUGGUAUAUUAGUUCAGAACCUAGCUAUGAACAUAGCUAGCCAAUUGUAUCAACUUCAUUCAUGACGCCUAUGGAUUGAGUAGAAUAUAAUAGAACUUUGUGCCAAGGAUGCUAGUCGAAUAUACAUGUAGUUAUUACCAUACAUGAUAUCCCGACAUUGUAGCCUGUACAUUUGAUAUAUUCACUGAUCAUGUACUCUACUUUGGCAAAUAAAGGUGCAGUUCAGGUAUGA